rnacentral:rRNA from 2 species
CCCGGUGACUCUGGCGAAGCGGACCCACCCGUUCCCAUCCCGAACACGGAAGUGAAACGUUUCAGCGCCGACGAUACUGGAGGGGCAGCCCUCUGUGGAAAAUAGGUCGUUGCCGGGG